rnacentral:rRNA from 1 species
GACGAACGCUGGCGGCGUGCUUAACACAUGCGAGUCGAACGGAAAGGCCCUGCUUUUGUGGGGUGCUCGAGUGGCGAACGGGUGAGUAACACGUGAGUAACCUGCCCUUGACUUUGGGAUAACUUCAGGAAACUGGGGCUAAUACCGGAUAGGAGCUCCUGCUGCAUGGUGGGGGUUGGAAAGUUUCGGCGGUUGGGGAUGGACUCGCGGCUUAUCAGCUUGUUGGUGGGGUAGUGGCUUACCAAGGCUUUGACGGGUAGCCGGCCUGGGAGGGUGACCGGCCACAUGGGGACUGAGAGACGGCCCAGACUCCUACGGGAGGCAGCAGUGGGGAAUAUUGCACAAUGGGCGGAAGCCUGAUGCAGCAACGCCGCGUGCGGGAUGACGGCCUUCGGGUUGUAAACCGCUUUCGCCUGUGACGAAGCGUGAGUGACGGUAAUGGGUAAAGAAGCACCGGCUAACUACGUG